GACCUAAUGGUGAAACGGUAUCGCGUCCGCAGUGUAUAUCAUGGUCGGACUAUACUAUGGUGGAAGUCCCUGGUUCGACUCCAGGUUAGGUCA